rnacentral:rRNA from 1 species
AUGGUCAGGGUCGUUUGGCACCUGCCUGAGCGCAUGGCCGAGCACAGGCGUGGAAGCGGAAGGAGAAGUAGAGCGGCUCAGCACCUCACGGCUGAGCCCGUAACGUUCCUGGCGCUCGCUGAUCACGACAGCACGGGCGCGGAGUGCCUUGAUCUCCAAAGCAAGCUGGCGGCGAGAAGAAAGCGUACCCAGCAUGUGUUUCGACCAUACGAGGAAGCGGUCUCUGGACCGGCACCGGAUGCGGAAGAUGUAGAGGUGCACGCAGUCCUCGGCGUCAUAGGCGAGCUCGCGCACCUGCUUCAUCCACACCCGGAUGAAGUGGUCCACGGCGCCCUCUUCUGCUUCGGAGAGCAUGCGGAGGAUGGCUUUCAUGGUUUCCAGCUCGUCGCUGAGCUCAGCCACCUGGGCACUCACGCCGCGGAGCUGCCGGUACUCCUUACCCACCAGCUGCCCGACGAUGGACACAAGCUGGGCGGUCGUUCCUUCCAUUCUCCCGCUCUCUUGAUUAUCGACUCUGUGGGGAGGGUGGAUGGCUGGAUAGGAGAUGCAGAGUUUUGUGCUGCUCUUCGCGAUCU